rnacentral:rRNA from 1 species
ACGAACGCUGGCGGCGUGCUUAACACAUGCAAGUCGAACGGAAAGGCCCUGCUUUUGUGGGGUGCUCGAGUGGCGAACGGGUGAGUAACACGUGAGUAACCUGCCCUUGACUUUGGGAUAACUUCAGGAAACUGGGGCUAAUCCCGGAUAGGAGCUCCUGCUGCAUGGUGGGGGUUGGAAAGUUUCGGCGGUUGGGGAUGGACUCGCGGCUUAUCAGCUUGUUGGUGGGGUAGUGGCUUACCAAGGCUUUGACGGGUAGCCGGCCUGAGAGGGUGACCGGCCACAUUGGGACUGAGAUACGGCCCAGACUCCUACGGGAGGCAGCAGUGGGGAAUAUUGCACAAUGGGCGGAAGCCUGAUGCAGCAACGCCGCGUGCGGGAUGACGGCCUUCGGGUUGUAAACCGCUUUCGCCUGUGACGAAGCGUGAGUGACGGUAAUGGGUAAAGAAGCACCGGCUAACUACGUG